rnacentral:rRNA from 1 species
UACGUAGGUGGCAAGCGUUGUCCGGAUUUACUGGGCGUAAAGAGCGCGCAGGCGGUCGUUCAAGUCGCGUGUGAAAGCCCCCGGCUCAACUGGGGAGGGUCACGCGAUACUGAUCGACUCGAAGGCAGGAGAGGGAAGUGGAAUUCCCGGUGUAGUGGUGAAAUGCGUAGAUAUCUGGAGGAACACCGGUGGCGAAGGCGGCGUUCUGGACUGUAACUGACACUGAAAAACGAAAGCCAGAGGAGCAAACGGG